UUUAAAGUGUAAUGUAAGUCGCUUUGGAUAAAAGCGUCUGCCAAAUGACCUGUA
rfam:Gasterosteus aculeatus cont1.000260, whole genome shotgun sequence.